rnacentral:rRNA from 1 species
AGAGCCUGAAUCAGUAUGUGUGUUAGUGGAAGCGUCUGGAAAGGCGCGCGAUACAGGGUGACAGCCCCGUACACAAAAAUGCACAUGCUGUGAGCUCGAUGAGUAGGGCGGGACACGUGGUAUCCUGUCUGAAUAUGGGGGGACCAUCCUCCAAGGCUAAAUACUCCUGACUGACCGAUAGUGAACCAGUACCGUGAGGGAAAGGCGAAAAGAACCCCGGCGAGGGGAGUGAAAAAGAACCUGAAACCGUGUACGUACAAGCAGUGGGAGCACGCUUAGGCGUGUGACUGCGUACCUUUUGUAUAAUGGGUCAGCGACUUAUAUUCUGUAGCAAGGUUAACCGAAUAGGGGAGCCGAAGGGAAACCGAGUCUUAACUGGGCGUUAAGUUGCAGGGUAUAGACCCGAAACCCGGUGAUCUAGCCAUGGGCAGGUUGAAGGUUGGGUAACACUAACUGGAGGACCGAACCGACUAAUGUUGAAAAAUUAGCGGAUGACUUGUGGCUGGGGGUGAAAGGCCAAUCAAACCGGGAGAUAGCUGGUUCUCCCCGAAAGCUAUUUAGGUAGCGCCUCGUGAAUUCAUCUCCGGGGGUAGAGCACUGUUUCGGCAAGGGGGUCAUCCCGACUUACCAACCCGAUGCAAACUGCGAAUACCGGAGAAUGUUAUCACGGGAGACACACGGCGGGUGCUAACGUCCGUCGUGAAGAGGGAAACAACCCAGACCGCCAGCUAAGGUCCCAAAGUCAUGGUUAAGUGGGAAACGAUGUGGGAAGGCCCAGACAGCCAGGAUGUUGGCUUAGAAGCAGCCAUCAUUUAAAGAAAGCGUAAUAGCUCACUGGUCGAGUCGGCCUGCGCGGAAGAUGUAACGGGGCUAAACCAUGCACCGAAGCUGCGGCAGCGACGCUGAUGCGUUGUUGGGUAGGGGAGCGUUCUGUAAGCCUGCGAAGGUGUGCUGUGAGGCAUGCUGGAGGUAUCAGAAGUGCGAAUGCUGACAUAAGUAACGAUAAAGCGGGUGAAAAGCCCGCUCGCCGGAAGACCAAGGGUUCCUGUCCAACGUUAAUCGGGGCAGGGUGAGUCGACCCCUAAGGCGAGGCCGAAAGGCGUAGUCGAUGGGAAACAGGUUAAUAUUCCUGUACUUGGUGUUACUGCGAAGGGGGGACGGAGAAGGCUAUGUUGGCCGGGCGACGGUUGUCCCGGUUUAAGCGUGUAGGCUGGUUUUCCAGGCAAAUCCGGAAAAUCAAGGCUGAGGCGUGAUGACGAG